UCGGAUAUGGUGUAACGGCUAACAUUGCCGCCUCUCAAGAUCUCGGGACUCGAACCCCUUGGUUUAAAAGAUCGCGGCAGCUCGGGGUUCGAUUCCCCGUAUCCGAA